AAUAGAUACCCGGGUAGUCCACGCCGUAAACGAUGGAUGCUAGCUGUUAUGCGUAUCGACCCGUGUAGUAGCGAAGCUAACGCGUUAAGCAUCCCGCCUGGGGAGUACGAACGCAAGUUUAAAACUCAAAGGAAUUGACGGGGACCCGCACAAGCGGUGGAGCGUGUUCUUUAAUUCGAGGCUAAGCGAAGAACCUUACCAGGGCUUGACAUCCUUGGAAUUUCUCCGAAAGGAGAGAGUACUUUAUUGGACCAAGUGACAGGUGCUGCAUGGCCGUCGUCAGCUCGUGUCGUGAGAUGUUGGUUAAGUCCAUUAACGAGCGCAACCCUUAUGAAUAGUUGUAUUUUUCUAUUCAGACUGCCCCGGUAACGGGGAGAAGGGGGGAUGAUGUCAGGUCAGUAUUGCCCUUACGCCCUGGGCUAGAAACGCGCUACAAUGGCCGUACAAUGCGCUGCCAACCCGCGAGGGGGAGCAAAUCGCAUCAAAGCCGGUCCCAGUUCGGAUAAGAGGCUGAAACUCGCCUCUUGAAGCCGGAAUCGCUAGUAAUCGU
rnacentral:rRNA from 1 species